UACGUAGGGGGCAAGCGUUGUCCGGAAUCAUUGGGCGUAAAGGGCGCGUAGGCGGCGGGGUAAGUCUGGUGUGAAAUCUCGGAGCUCAACUCCGAAAUUGCACUGGAUACUGCUCUGCUAGAGGGCUGGAGAGGAGAUCGGAAUUCACGGUGUAGCAGUGAAAUGCGUAGAUAUCGAGAGGAACACCUGCGGCGAAGGCGGGUUGCUGGGCUGACACUGACGCUGAUGCGCGAAAGCCAGGGGAGCGAACGGG
rnacentral:rRNA from 1 species